rnacentral:rRNA from 1 species
UACGUAGGUGGCAAGCGUUGUCCGGAAUUAUUGGGCGUAAAGCGCGCGCAGGCGGUCCUUUAAGUCUGAUGUGAAAGCCCACGGCUCAACCGUGGAGGGUCAUUGGAAACUGGGGGACUUGAGUACAGAAGAGGAAAGCGGAAUUCCACGUGUAGCGGUGAAAUGCGUAGAGAUGUGGAGGAACACCAGUGGCGAAGGCGGCUUUCUGGUCUGUAACUGACGCUGAGGCGCGAAAGAGUGGGGAGCAAACAGG